rnacentral:misc_RNA from 1 species
AUUUCCUUUGCAGAAUCUACAUUGCAAAUCGGUGGUAGUUUCACUUUUAACAUUAUAUAUUAUGGUGUACAAGUUAUAUGUGACUGACAUAUGAGGGAAGAUGCGGAAGGUGUGGAAAUCUAAGAUUUAACAGCAUUAGUAGGUUGAUUUCAUAUACCCUAUGGAACAGGUAUAGGCCCUGUACAUUUCUGAAGAUACAAAUCGAUAAACAUGAACUGUGUGAUAUUAGUAAGUACAGACAAGAUAAGUAAAUUAUUUUUACAUAUG